AGACAGAGAGUGCUAAGAGCAGUGGAGACUGUCUCCCUCAACAGGACUUCCCAGAGGUCAACGGUCCAUUCAAGCGGCAUAAUUCCGGCAUCGUCCGCGGCAACUGUCCCUAUGACGAUGUAGCCUGUGAGCCCAAGAGGUCAACCAGCACAGACCAUGUAGCAGGUCUCGUGUUGAGCUCCUCUCUGAAUGAGGUAGGUGUGGUUGAGACCAACAGUCUGAGGAGGAGACAUCUCACUGCCCUUGAGGAGGGAGGUGGCAGUAGGAGUAGUGUUGGAGGAGGAGUAGGAGGCCAUGACUGGCAGGGUGUGCGAGGGUGCAGACUGAGUGGAGACAACAGGGUUGUCAGUGGUAGCAGUGGCACGCCAGUGUUGGGUCUGGGGCUGCACCAGGGAGAGACUGACCCAGCCAGGAUAGCAGAGAACCUGGGGGCAGACACCAAGAUCCUCCUGGGGACCAGCUUCAGCCAGACCAACAGGCCGCGGACGUUAGUCCUGGGAGGGUCAGAGGGGGUAGGAGCAGCCGGGGGAAGAACCAGGUGAACAUCAUUGAUGUGGAACGUUACUGACCCGCUGACAUCUUGUGAAAGAGAUUUGAUCUCAGUGAGAGUAACCUGUAUUAAGAAAGGCAGAGUAACCUGUAUUA